rnacentral:rRNA from 1 species
GACGAACGCUGGCGGCGUGCUUAACACAUGCAAGUCGAACGGUGACGGUGGAGCUUGCUCCGCCUGAUCAGUGUCGAACGGGUGAGUAACACGUGGGCAACCUGCCCCAGACUUCGGGAUAACUCCUCGAAAGAGGCGCUAAUACCGGAUACGAACUCCUUGGGCAUCCCUGGAGUUGGAAAGUUUUGCGGUCUGGGAUGGGCCCGCGGCCUAUCAGCUUGUUGGUGAGGUAACGGCUCACCAAGGCGACGACGGGUAGCCGGCCUUAGAGGGCGACCGGCCACACUGGGACUGAGACACGGCCCAGACUCCUACGGGAGGCUGCAGUCGCGAAUAUUCCUCAAUGGACGAAAGUCUGAAGGAGCGACGCCGCGUGUAGGAAGACGGUCUUCGGAUUGUAAACUACUUUUAUAAGGGAAGAAUUCUGACGGUACCUUAUGAAUAAGAGGUUGCAAACUCUGUGCCAGCAGCCGCCGCAG